AGAGUUUGAUCAUGGCUCAGAUUGAACGCUGGCGGCAUGCCUUACACAUGCAAGUCGAGCGGCAGCGCGGGGGCAACCCUGGCGGCGAGCGGCGAACGGGUGAGUAAUACAUCGGAACGUGUCCUUUCGUGGGGGAUAACCAGUCGAAAGACUGGCUAAUACCGCAUGAGAUCUCACGAUGAAAGCGAGGGACCGCAAGGCCUCGCGCGAUUGGAGCGGCCGAUGUCGGAUUAGCUAGUUGGCGGGGUAAAAGCCCACCAAGGCGACGAUCCGUAGCUGGUUUGAGAGAACGACCAGCCACACUGGGACUGAGACACGGCCCAGACUCCUACGGGAGGCAGCAGUGGGGAAUUUUGGACAAUGGGCGCAAGCCUGAUCCAGCCAUGCCGCGUGUGUGAAGAAGGCCUUCGGGUUGUAAAGCACUUUCGGCCGGAACGAAAUCGCGCGGGUUAACAGUCCGCGUGGAUGACGGUACCGGAAGAAGAAGCACCGGCUAACUACGUGCCAGCAGCCGCGGUA
rnacentral:rRNA from 1 species